AGUCGACGAUGAAUCUUCUAGCUUGCUAGAAGUGGAUUAGUGGCGCACGGGUGAGUAAUGCAUAGGUUAUGUGCCCUUUAGUCUGGGAUAGCCACUGGAAACGGUGAUUAAUACUGGAUACUCCCUACGGGGGAAAGUUUUUCGCUAAAGGAUCAGCCUAUGUCCUAUCAGCUUGUUGGUGAGGUAAUGGCUCACCAAGGCUAUGACGGGUAUCCGGCCUGAGAGGGUGAUCGGACACACUGGAACUGAGACACGGUCCAGACUCCUACGGGAGGCAGCAGUAGGGAAUAUUGCUCAAUGGGGGAAACCCUGAAGCAGCAACGCCGCGUGGAGGAUGAAGGUUUUAGGAUUGUAAACUCCUUUUGUUAGAGAAGAUUAUGACGGUACCUAACGAAUAAGCACCGGCUAACUCCGUGCCAGCAGCCGCGGUAAUACGGAGGGUGCAAGCGUUACUCGGAAUCACUGGGCGUAAAGAGUGCGUAGGCGGGGUAAUAAGUCAGAUGUGAAAUCCUGUAGCUUAACUACAGAACUGCAUUUGAAACUGUUACUCUGGAGUGUGGGAGAGGUAGGUGGAAUUCUUGGUGUAGGGGUAAAAUCCGUAGAGAUCAAGAGGAAUACUCAUUGCGAAGGCGACCUGCUGGAACAUUACUGACGCUGAUGCACGAAAGCGUGGGGAGCAAACAGGAUUAGAUACCCUGGUAGUCCACGCCCUAAACGAUGGAUGCUAGUUGUUGCCUUGCUUGUCAGGGCAGUAAUGCAGCUAACGCAUUAAGCAUCCCGCCUGGGGAGUACGGUCGCAAGAUUAAAACUCAAAGGAAUAGACGGGGACCCGCACAAGCGGUGGAGCAUGUGGUUUAAU
rnacentral:rRNA from 1 species